UAGUCAUACGCUCGUCUCAAAGAUUAAGCCAUGCAUGUCUAAGUAUAAAUAUUUUACUUUGAAACUGCGAACGGCUCAUUAUAUCAGUAAUAAUUUAUUUGAUGGUUCCUUACUACAUGGAUAACCGUAGUAAUUCUAGAGCUAAUACAUGCGUAAAGUCCUGACUCUUGCGGGGAGGGAUGUAUUUAUUAGAUAAAAAACCAAUGCGCCUUCGGGCGGUUUUGUGGUGAAUCAUAGUAACUAAUCGGAUCGCAUGGCCUCGUGCCGGCGACAGUUCAUUCAAAUUUCUGCCCUAUCAGCUUUCGACGGUAGUGUAGUGGACUACCGUGGCGUUAACGGGUAACGGAGAAUUAGGGUUCGAUUCCGGAGAGGGAGCCUGAGAAACGGCUACCACAUCCAAGGAAGGCAGCAGGCGCGCAAAUUACCCAAUCCUGACACAGGAGGGUAGUGACGAACAAUAACAAUAUCGGGCUUUUUCAAGUCUGAUAAUUGGAAUGAGUACAAUUUAAAUCCCUUAACGAGGAUCCACU
rnacentral:rRNA from 1 species